rnacentral:rRNA from 1 species
UAGUCCUACGGGGCGCAGCAGUCGGGAAUAUUGCGCAAUGGAGGAAACUCUGACGCAGUGACGCCGCGUAUAGGAAGAAGGUUUUCGGAUUGUAAACUAUUGUCGAUAGGGAAGAAAAAAGACUGUACCUAUCAAGAAAGCUCCGGCUAACUACGUGCCAGCAACCGCGGUAAUACGUAGGGGGCGAGCGUUAUCCGGAUUUACUGGGUGUAAAGGGAGCGUAGACGGCGUCGCAAGUCUGAAGUGAAAGCCCGUGGCUCAACCGCGGAACCGCUUUGGAAACUGCGAGGCUGGAGUGCUGGAGG